rnacentral:rRNA from 1 species
GACGAACGCUGGCGGCGUGCCUAAUACAUGCAAGUCGAACGCAGUUGCGAACGGGUGCGUAACGCGUAGGUAACUGCCUCAUAGCGGCGAAUAACUAUUGGAAACGAUAGCAAAUACCUCCUAUUGUGGGAUGCACCUGCGUUGGAUUAGCUAGUUGGUUAGGUAAAGGCUCACCAAGGCGACGAUACAUAGCCGACCUGAGAGGGUGAUCGGCCACACUGGGGCUGGGACAACGCCCAGACUCCUACCGGAGGCAGCAGUAGGGGAACUUUGGCAAUGGGCUGAAAUCUGACCCAGCAACGGCGCGUGAGUGUAGGAGGGUUUCGGGUCGGAAAGCUCUGGUGUUAGAGAAGCGGUAACUAACCAGAAAGGGACGGCUAACUACGUGCCAGCAGCCGCGGUAAUAC